AGUUUGAUCAUGGCUCAGAACGAACGCUGGCGGCGUGCUUAACACAUGCAAGUCGAACGCGAAAUCGGGCACUCAAUUUUGCUUUUCAAACAUUAACUGAUAAAACAACCCCAGAGAUUGUUCCAGUUUAAAAAGUGAAAAGCAGGCUUGAGUGCCUGAGAGUAGAGUGGCGCACGGGUGAGUAACGCGUAAAUAAUUUACCCCUGCAUCCGGGUUACCCCACCGAAAGGUGUGCUAAUACCGGAUACGUUCUCUUUAUCGCGAGAUAUGGAGAAGAAAGGUGGCCUCUGAUAUAAGCUACUGUGCGGGGAGGAGUUUGCGUACCAUUAGCUAGUUGGUAGGGUAAUGGCCUACCAAGGCAACGAUGGUUAGCGGGUCUGAGAGGAUGAUCCGCCACACUGGAACUGGAACACGGACCAGACUCCUACGGGAGGCAGCAGUGAGGAAUAUUGCGCAAUGGGGGCAACCCUGACGCAGCGACGCCGCGUGGAUGAUGAAGGCCUUCGGGUCGUAAAAUCCUGUCAGAUGGAAAGAAAUGUUAUAUGGAUAAUACCUGUAUAGCUUGACGGUACCAUCAAAGGAAGCACCGGCUAACUCCGUGCCAGCAGCCGCGGUAAUACAGAGGGUGCAAGCGUUAAUCGGAAUUACUGGGCGUAAAGCGCGCGUAGGCGGUUUGUUAAGUCGGAUGUGAAAGCCCCGGGCUCAACCUGGGAAUUGCAUACGAUACUGGCCGACUAGAGUAUAAGAGAGGGAGGUAGAAUUCCAUGUGUAGCGGUGAAAUGCGUAGAUAUGUGGAGGAAUACCAGUGGCGAAGGCGCCUCCUGGCUUAAUACUGACGCUGAGGUGCGAAAGCGUGGGGAGCAAACAGGAUUAGAUACCCUGGUAGUCCACGCCGUAAACGAUGUCAACUAGCCGUUGGGGAACUUGAUUCCUUAGUGGCGCAGCUAACGCACUAAGUUGACCGCCU
rnacentral:rRNA from 1 species